GGAGAAGUCGCCUAGUUUGGUCGAGGGCGCACGACUGGAAAUCGUGUAACCGUCAAAAACGGUUCGAGGGUUCGAAUCCCUCCUUCUCCGCCA
rnacentral:tRNA from 1 species